CUCCCGUGCGUCCUCCAUCCCUUUCUCCUUCCCGUACCCUAGCAGCCGCACAUCCCUCUCUUCUCCGUUCACCCAGUCGGCCACACAAGCUGCCGGUCGUUUCUUCUUCUUUCCGGUCGUCUUCCUUUUCUCCUUCGGAUCGAAACCGCCGCGCCCAUUCGCUCACAACCGCCGUGCCUCUCCGCUCACAACCGUCGUGCCUCCCUCGGAAAGCAAAUCGUCGUCCAGAUCUGCAUCGCCGAGCCGUCUAGGUCCUCGCCGCCGCAUGUGCUUCACCCUUGCAGUUCGCCGUAACCCAGAUCCGUCGCUGCAAUCGUCGGUCGGUUCGUGAAGCAAGCCGUACGCGUCACCUUGCAGCAGUCGUCCAGAUCUGCGUCGCCGUGCCCAUUCCUUUCCUCUCCGUUCGUGAAGACCUGCUGCGCAAUCUCUGUCUCCGUCGAAGCCAAGCUCAGCCGCCGCCCGUUCCUUUCUUCUUCGUUUUCUACACUGCCGCGCGACUCUCCGACCGCGUCUGUCUUCACCUCCGUGAAGCCGUCGACGCAUACAUCUCGUGAAGUCAUACACGGAUCCAAGCCGAUCUCUUCCUAAAUUACGUGUCCCCUAUCAAGUCGACGUUCUUCUGCUCGUUGUAAGACGGAGUUACGAUUUGAAGCCGAUUUUCUUUUCCAGUUGAGUCGCAUUCAGUGUUGCUCUAUUUACAGCCGCUUGAUUCGUUCUUGAUUGUCAUUUUUGCCUCGCCGUGAACCAUUGGGCUCAUAUUUGGGUAAGAACAAGUUAUGGUUUUUGUUGGUUUCUUGGUUUUUGUUGAAUGCUGCCAUUGGAUUUAAUUGUUGGCGAAAUGCUUAAUUCUUGAAGGUACAUCUUGAUUCAGUGAGCGAAUCCUUGAUUUUCCAAAAGGUUGAAGUGGACUUGAUUUUCCACUUCUUGGGUAAGUUGUGGAAUUUACAUAUGGGGUAAUUUGAAUGGUUGAAACUAUUUAGAAAGAUGUUGAUUUUAUGAUUGAUUAUGUUUAGGAUUUGAUUCAUUGGAUUUAGUAGAUUGAAGAACUUGCAUAAAAGUGAGGUAAGGGAUUUUAUUUUCUACUGGACUCACCUAUGCUUUUGAAUUGUAAUGUUAGUCACCUCUGAUUGAGUAAAUGUGUUGAGACAAUAUAUAUAUACGUAUGGAUGUAGGUUCGGUGUUGAAUGUAUACUGUGGAUGACUGAAAAUAUAUAUAUACACAUGGAUUGAAGUAGACUUGAUGUUGAAUGCAUAUUGUGAUUGUCUUGGAAUAUAUAUAUGUGUGUGGAUGUAGACAGGACAACAAUUGUAGAUUGUGUUUGUAUGAGAUGCGGAUGUGAACUUGUGAUUGUCGUUUAGACUGGGUGUACGUUAUACUAAAGUAUGACUGUGUGCUGGUGAACUGAGAGGCGUUAUGACUAUAUAGUUUGAUUGACUGACGUAUUAGUAUGUUACUGACAGACAUUGGGCUAAAGUGAGAUAAGUUGACUGUUAGAACGUUGAGUGAAAGAACUUUAUAUUUUGAAGUAACUGAAAGAUGGUACGAAUGGAUUGAGGGGAAAAAUUGUUAGCUUUUAUUCGGAUGUGUGCUUUGUAGGUGUCCCACGGGAUCACCAAUUAUUCUGCACCUUCGGGAGCAUUAGACUGAUAUGUGUUUCUGCAGGACACUACACUGGAAUGUACGUCCCUCGAGGCGUUAGACUGAAAUGUGCAUCCUACGGGAUCACAAGACUGCGACUGUACAGGGUGUCCCAAUAGAAUGUUAACAAUUUAUUUUUCCCUGACGGGACCAGUAGAGGGUCUCUUACUGGGUAUUUUUAUACUCACCCUUCUUAUGUUUAAUUUUCAGGCAAAGGUAAUAAAGGCGGCAAACCGGCGAGGGGCAGGAAGGAAGCGUGAUUGCCAUAGGAAAUGUGUUAUUUUGCUUCCGCUUAUUGUUUUUUUUUAGGUUUAAGACGUUGUAUUGAAACUUAGCUUACAAACUUUUAUUUGUAAAUAGUACUUUUUUUAAGUUUUUGGAAUAUUUGAAAAUCAGGCCUGACUUAAAGUUGUUUUUCAAUUGGCUUACAUUUCAUUUUGUAUCAACCAAAGUCUUUUGUCAAAAAUUAACGACCUCGACUUACCUAGAAAAGUUGGGUCGUUACAGUUGGUAUCAGAGCCUAAGUUUUAGGUUCUGUAGACUGACUUACGAUGUAAGUCUAUGUUUUAUGUCCCUAUGGCUAACGCGACCCUUCGUCUCUCGUCAGGUAUGCUUUAUGCUUAUAUGUAUGGUUUAUUUGCAUGAGUUUGCCUAAAUUAAACUAGAUUGCAUGACGAUAAAGACUUCUUAUGCUUAUGAUUAAGACUUUUUAAAGAGUGUUGUUGGUGGAUAAUAGGAAUUAUGCCGCCAAAGAGAGGUGUACGUAGAGGAGGUCGUAGAGGUCGGGGUAGAGGAGCAGGUCGUAAUCAACCUACUGAGGGUCAAGCUGAAUAGCGAAUUCCUACUGCACCCGUGACUCAUGUUGAGUUUGCUGCACUGUCUGCUCACAUGGAGCAGAGGUUCACGGAGCUUAUGACGGCUAUAGCUCAGAACCAGCAGGCACCUGCAGUUCCACCUGCACCUGUGGUUCCCCCUGUACCAGCAGCUCCACCUGCACCAGCAGCCCCUCCUGCGCAAGGAUUGGCUGCACAACAGCCGCAGACAUUACCGAACCAACUUUCUGCUGAGGCGAAACAUUUGAGGGACUUUAGGAAAUAUGACCCUCAGACGUUUGAUGGGUCACUGGAGGAUCCUACUAAAGCUGAGUUGUGGUUGUCCUCUGUGGAAACCAUAUUUAAUUACAUGAGAUGUCCAGAGGAGCAUAGAGUUCAGUGUGCUGCUUUUCUUCUGAGGGACAGAGGUAUUAUCUGGUGGAGAACUACGAUGCGUAUGCUAGGUGGAGAUGUGAGACAGAUUACCUGGGAUCAGUUUAAAGACUGCUUCUAUACCAAGUUUUUCUCGGCUAACCUUAGAGACGCCAAAAGCCAGGAAUUCUUGGAAUUGAAGCAAGGACAUAUGACAGUCGAGGAGUACGACCAGGAGUUUGAUAUGCUGUCGCGUUUUGCCCCUGAACUUGUUGGUAAUGAGCAGGCUAGAGCUGAUAGGUUCGUCAAAGGAUUGAGAGAUGAGAUUAGAGGCUUUGUGCGAGCACUAAAGCCCACUACCCAGGCUGAAGCGCUGCGCCUGGCAGUGGAUAUGAGCAUUGGGAAGGAUGAAAUUCGGGCAAGGAGUUUUGAUAAGGGAUCGUCGUCUGGUCAAAAGAGGAAAGCAGAGCAGAGAACUGUGGGAAUUCCUCAGAGGAACUUGAGAUUAGGCGAUCCUUUUUGCAGUUUCCAGCAGAGUUCUGGCGGGGCAGGAGACACUACUCGAGAGAAGCCACUAUGCAAUACGUGUGGGAAACACCACCUGGGUCGUUGUUUGAUGGGAACGAGAGUCUGUUAUAAGUGCAAGCAAGAGGGACACAUGGCUGAUCGAUGUCCCUUGAGAUCUACUGGGGCUGGACAGAGCAGUCAGGGAGCGAAACCUCCACAGCGGGGUACAAUCUUUGCCACUAAUAGAUCAUAAGCAGAGAAGGCCUGCACAGUGGUGACAGGUACAUUACCAGUGUUAGGGCAUUUUGCCUUGACCUUGUUUGACUCGGGGUCUUCUCAUUCAUUUAUUUCAUCGCUUUUUGUGACGCAUGCAUGCUUAGAGGUGGAACCCUUAGAUUAUGUUUUGUCAGUGUCUACACCGUCUGGAGAAAUUAUGUUGUCUAAGGAAAAGAUUAAAGCAUGUGAAAUUGAGAUAGCUGGUCGUGUGCUGGACGUAACCUUGUUGGUAUUAGAUAUGCGUGACUUUGAUGUAAUUUUAGGUAUGGAUUGGCUAGCUACUAAUCAUGCUAGUAUUGAUUGCUCUCGUAAAGAGGUUGUGUUCAGUCCCCCUACCGAAUCUAGCUUUAAAUUCAAGGGGUAGGAACAGUAGUACUGCCUAAAGUAAUCUCAGCUAUGAAAGCUAGUAAACUGCUCAACCAGGGUACCUGGAGUAUUUUGGCAAGUGUGGUGGAUACUAGGGAAGAUGAGACUUCCUUAACUUCAGAACCUGUGGUAAGAGAAUACCCAGAUGUGUUUCCAGAAGAUCUUCCAGGACUACCGCCACAUAGAGAGAUUGAUUUUGCCAUUGAGUUGGAGCCAGACACUACUCCCAUUUCUAGAGCCCCUUAUAGGAUGGCUCCUGUCGAGUUGAAAUAACUGAAGGUACAGUUACAGGAGUUGCUUGACAAAGGCUUUAUUCGACCUAGUGUGUCGCCUUGGGGUGCACCAGUAUUGUUUGUGAAGAAGAAGGAUGGGUCGAUGCGUCUUUGCAUUGACUAUAGAGAGUUGAAUAAAGUAACAAUCAAGAACAGAUAUCCUUUACCUAGAAUCGAUGAUUUGUUCGAUCAGUUACAGGGAGCCACGGUGUUCUCUAAGAUUGACUUACGGUCAGGUUAUCACCAGUUGAGGAUUAGAGACCGUGAUAUUCCUAAGACUGCUUUUCGUUCGAGGUACGGACAUUAUGAAUUCAUGGUAAUGUCUUUUGGUUUGACUAAUGCACCUGCAGUAUUUAUGGAUUUGAUGAACAGGGUGUUUAAGGAUUUCUUAGACACUUUUGUGAUAGUCUUCAUUGAUGAUAUUUUGGUUUAUUCCAAGACUGAGGCCGAACAUGAGGAACACUUACAUAAAGUGUUAGAGACUCUUCGAGUCAAUAAACUUUAUGCUAAAUUCUCUAAGUGCGAAUUUUGGUUGAAGCAGGUGGCUUUUCUUGGUCAUGUGGUUUCCAGUGAGGGAGUUUCUGUAGACCCUGCAAAGAUAGAAGCGGUUACCAGUUGGUCUCGACCCUCUACAGUUAGUGAGGUUCGUAGUUUUCUGGGUUUAGCAGGGUACUACCGGAGGUUUGUGGAGGAUUUUUCACGUUUGGCUACUCCCUUGACUCAGUUGACAAGGAAGGGAACUCCGUUUGUUUGGAGUCCAGCUUGCGAGGAUAGUUUUCAGAACCUUAAGCAAAGGUUAGUUACUGCACCGGUCCUUACAGUACCAGAUGGAUCCGGAAGUUUUGUGAUUUACAGUGAUGCUUCCAAGAAAGGACUGGGUUGUGUUUUGAUGCAGAAAGGUAAGGUGGUUGCUUAUGCCUCUCGUCAGUUGAAGAGUCACGAGCAGAACUACCCCACACAUGAUUUGGAGUUGGCAGCAGUGGUUUUUGCAUUGAAGAUAUGGAGACAUUAUUUGUACGGUGAAAAGAUACAAAUCUUUACUGACCAUAAGAGCCUGAAGUACUUCUUCACUCAGAAGGAGUUGAAUAUGAGACAGCGAAGGUGGCUCGAGUUGGUAAAGGAUUAUGACUGUGAGAUAUUGUACCAUCCUGGUAAGGCGAAUGUGGUGGCUGAUGCUCUUAGUAGAAAAGUAUCACAUUCGGCAGCACUCAUUACUAGACAGGUACCAUUACAUCGAGACUUGGAGAGAGCUGAGAUUGUAGUAUCUGUGGGGAGAGUCACCUCACAGUUAGCUCAAUUAACGGUGCAACUGACUCUGAGGCAGAAGAUUGUUGAUGCUCAGAGUAAUGAUCCUUAUUUGAUGGAGAGACGUCGCCUUGUUGGAACAGAGCAGACUGAUGAGUUCUCCAUAUCCUCUGAUGGUGGAUUGAUGUUUGAGAGACGUUUGUGUGUGCCAGCGAACAGUGCAGCUAAGAUUGACUUACUAGAUGAAGCCCAUAAUUCUUCAUUUUCCAUGCAUCCUGGUAGUACGAAAAUGUAUCAGGAUCUAAAACGAUUUUAUUGGUGGCGGAAUAUGAAAAGGGAAGUGGCGGAAUUCGUUAGUAAGUGUCUAGUAUGUCAGCAGGUUAAGGCACCUAGACAGAAACCAGCAGGUUUGUUACAACCUUUAAGUGUGCCAGAGUGGAAGUGGGAGAAUGUGUCGAUGGAUUUUAUUUCAGGGCUGCCUAAGACCCUGAAGGGUUUCACAGUGAUUUUGGUUGUUGUAGACAGGCUUACGAAAUCGGCACAUUUUGUACCAGGGAAAUCCACUUAUACUGCUAGUAAGUGGGCACAGUUGUAUUUAACUGAGGUUGUGAGACUGCAUGGAGUGCCUGUAUCGAUUGUUUCUGACAGGGAUGCACGGUUUACUUCCAAGUUUUGGAAGGGACUUCAGACUGCUAUGGGUACGAGAUUAGAUUUCAGUACAGCCUUUCAUCCACAAACUGAUGGUCAAACUGAACGUUUGAACCAAGUUUUAGAGGAUAUGCUACGAGCUUGUGUUCUAGAGUUUCCAGGUAGUUGGGACUCUCAUCUACAUUUGAUGGAGUUUGCUUAUAACAACAGUUUCCAGGCUACCAUCGGUAUGGCACCAUUUGAGGCUUUGUAUGGUAAAUGUUGUAGAACCCCUAUUUGUUGGAGUGAGGUUGGUGAACAGAGGUUGAUGGGACCUAAAUUAGUUCGGUCUACUAAUGAGGCUAUUCAAAAGAUUAGAGCACGUAUGCAAACAGCGCAGAGUAGACAAAAGAGUUAUGCAGAUGUACGGCGAAAAGACCUUAAGUUUGAUGUGGGAGAAAAGGUAUUCUUGAAGGUAGCACCUAUGAAGGGUGUUAUGCGUUUUGAGAAGAAAGGGAAGUUAAGUCCUCGUUUUGUUGGACCAUUUGAGAUCUUAGAGAGGGUUGGUGUUGUGGCGUAUCGCUUGGCAUUACCACCAUCACUCUCUGCAGUCCAUAAUGUUUUCCAUGUUUCGAUGUUGAGGAAGUAUGUGGCCGAUACAUCUCAUGUCGUGGACUAUGAACCCUUGGAGAUUGAUGAGCAUUUGAGCUAUGUAGAACAACCUGUGGAGAUUCUCGCUAGAGAGGUAAAGAUGCUUCGUAAUAGAAGCAUUCCAUUAGUAAAGGUUUUGUGGCGGAAUCAUCGAAUUGAAGAGGCGACAUGGGAGCGAGAAGAAGAGAUGAGGACUCGUUAUCAAGAGUUAUUUUAGGAUUAGAACUUUCGCCUUAAGGCAGGAAGAAUGUAACGCCCCAAACUCGAAGGUAUUUUAUUUUAAGAGAUUUUUUCGAUUUGUACAAGAUUUAUUGUUUUGAAGAAAAUAUGUUGAAGGGGGAAAGAAGAUUUGAAAAUGUGAUAAUAUAAUUAUAUAUAUAUUUAUUUAUAUUUUUAGUUUUAUUAUUUAGUUUAAAUAAAAGAAAAGAAAAAGAAAUUUUAUUAUAUAUAUAUUUAUUUAUAUUUUAGUUUUAUUUUUAUUAUUUAAAUAAAAGAAAAGAAAAAAGAAAUUUUUCCUUCCUUCUUCCUCCCGUGCGUCCUCCAUCCCUUUCUCCUUCCCGUACCCUAGCAGCCGCACAUCCCUCUCUUCUCCGUUCACCCAGUCGGCCACACAAGCUGCCGGUCGUUUCUUCUUCUUCUUUCCGGUCGUCUUCCUUUUCUCCUUCGGAUCGAAACCGCCGCGCCCAUCCGCUCACAACCAC
rnacentral:lncRNA from 1 species